UACGUAGGGGGCCAGCGUUGCUCGGAAUUACUGGGCGUAAAGGGUUCGUAGGUGGUGCGGCAAGUUGGGAGUGAAAUCUCUGGGCUUAACUCAGAGGCUGCUUUCAAAACUGCCGCGCUCGAGUGCGAGAGAGGUCAGUGGAAUUGCAGGUGUAGCGGUGAAAUGCGUAGAUAUCUGCAGGAACACCCGUGGCGAAGGCGGCUGACUGGGAUCGCAACUGACACUGAGGAACGAAAGCUAGGGGAGCAAACGGG
rnacentral:rRNA from 1 species